UCAAAUGAAACAUACACAAACAUUCAACGGUUUUUUUUCAACAGAGUGUACUAAACGUUUGAUUUAUUUCUCCGAAUAUUUGUCAGGGGGUUGGCGUUUUUUAUUUCGAGCGAAACAAAUAGUUCAACUUGUAUUUUGGAUUUUUAAUAUGUAAAAUACAAUCAAUAUAAUCAAUCUAUAGUUUAUUAUACAGUAAUAACUCUUUUUUUACUUCGUUCUCACAUAUUUACACCCCUACUUUGUCGCGUGUAUUAACCUUCGCAGGCGUUGGCGGGAAACUUUCGUAAGAAUUGUGAAUGUCGUAUUCCUUUAAAAAGCGAGAAGGAGGACAGAAGAUCCGCGGACAAACUUUUGUCAAGUAGAAGAAAGAAACAGAAGAAGAAGUCCGUGUAUGUAUGGCUUUGGUGCUGAAGUAACGUAUCUGACAGAAAUGGAGGAGCGGGAAGAAGAAAUGCGAAAGAUUAAAGAAAAUAAUUUAUGAUUAAGCUUAUAUUAAUUUUUAUUGUGUAACGGUGUGGAUACUUUUUAACCCUAUUCCUGCUGGGCCUUUUAGGGGUCCUCAAUAGCGGGGGGGGGGGGGGGGGGUGGGGCUGAUUCGACACCCUUCGUUAAAUUUUUAAAAUUGUUGUCCGUUGGACCUGAAACUUACCACAAGUGUUGUUCAGGUAUUAAUAAACAAUUUGAUGAAAAAAAGUGAUGACGUCAGCAUUUUCGAUGAUGACGUCAUCAAAUUCGGUGACAUAAUAGAAACGCAAAAUAAUAUAACAAUAUAAACUAAGAAUUGACAUAAAGCUUUCAAAGACAUGUAAAAAAAAACUUUUAGUAAAACAUUUUUUUUUAAAUUUUUACUCAACAUAAAAAAUUGUUGUCAUGGCAACACUUUGGCAUACUUCCGUAAAAAAAUUUUUGGGAAAUUAAAGCUUAAUAAAAGUUAGGAAAAGUCACAAAAUUUGAAGGUGGAACUAUAAAAACAUAAAAAGUUAUUAAAAAAAAGUUUAUGAGGGGGGAGGGCUGAUUCAACCCCCCCCCCCCCCCCCCCCUGCACGAAUAGGGUUAAGGAAGUAAUAGUUCUGAAAUAUACUUAUGCUAUUAUUAUUGUAAUUCUUACAAAUUGAUUUCAUGACAGCUUCUAAUGAGGUUGAUAACUUUUCAUUGGCCUGAAAUACUAUUAAAUAGAGUUUUUAACAUAG